rnacentral:rRNA from 1 species
UACAGAGGUCUCAAGCGUUGUUCGGAAUCACUGGGCGUAAAGGGUGUGUAGGCGGUGUGCUAAGUCAGAUGUGAAAGCCCGGGGCUCAACCUCGGAACUGCAUCCGAUACUGGCAUGCUAGAGAAUUGGAGAGGAGUCUAGAAUUCACGGUGUAGCAGUGAAAUGCGUAGAUAUCGUGAGGAAUACCAAGUGCGAAGGCAGGACUCUGGACAUUUUCUGACGCUGAGACACGAAGGCCAGGGGAGCAAACGGGG